UACGUAGGGGGCAAGCGUUGUCCGGAAUUAUUGGGCGUAAAGGGCGCGUAGGCGGAUAGUUAAGUCCGGUGUGAAAGAUCAGGGCUCAACCCUGAGAGUGCAUCGGAAACUGGUUAUCUUGAGGACAGGAGAGGAAAGUGGAAUUCCACGUGUAGCGGUGAAAUGCGUAGAUAUGUGGAGGAACACCAGUGGCGAAGGCGACUUUCUGGACUGUAACUGACGCUGAGACGCGAAAGCGUGGGGAGCGAACAGG
rnacentral:rRNA from 1 species